rfam:Dictyostelium purpureum 17S ribosomal RNA, 5.8S ribosomal RNA, 26S ribosomal RNA, and 5S ribosomal RNA genes, complete sequence.
UUGCCUCAUCUAAGUAAGACUACCCGCUGAACUUAAGCAUAUCAGUAAGCGGAGGAAAAGAAACUAACAAGGAUUCCGUCAGUAACGGCGAGUGAAGACGGAGUAGCCCAAGGUUCAAUCCUGGAUCUCUUCGAGGUCAGGAGAUUUAACCUAAGGACUGGGGGAACUCGGUGUCGGCAUCUGUUAAUUCCUUUUGGAAUUUAGAGCCAUUGAAGGUGAAAGCCCUGUUCGCGGGUGUCGACAUCUAGACCAUGCCCUUAGCUCCACGAGUAGGAAUGUCUGAAAGUGCAUUCUGAAUGGGUGAUAAGAUUCAUCCAAGGCUAAAUAUAAGUUAGGAGAUCGAUAGCAUACAAGUACCGUGAGGGAAAGGUGAAAAGAACUUUGAAAAAAGGUUUAAAAGUAUUUGACACCGUUUAUGUGGAAGCGUUUACUUGGACCCCAAACGUAGUUGUCUGGUUAGCUCUAGUUCUUAGAGGAUCAAAGUAGAGGAGUAUGUGCUGAUUAAAAGGUGGCAGCUUCUUGAUUAUCAUUGGUUCUUGCUGAGGAAUGUAUUCUAAUUAGGCCAGUUACCAACACAUAAGAUUCGAUGUUUAUAAAAUGCUGGAUGAGGCAAUUUGCUUGCAAAGGGCUCGCUAGUAAUAAUGGAUAUUGGGUUUUAUGAAGAUUGCAGAAUACAGGCAAUUCACUAUGAACGAUUGUUAAUUUUGUUGGUGCAUCCUUGCUCUGUCUAUAUAGGUGGCUUGCCACUUGUAUAGCUUGUAAGGUGUAUCAGUUUAAUGUUGCGGUUUUUGUAGUGCUUGUAUUUAUGUUGGAGUGGGUGCAAUAAAUGUCCCGUCUUGAAACACGGAUCAAGGAGGCCGUUUUAUGUGCGAGUGUAAGAGUAAUUAAAACUCCGACGCGUAUUGAAAGAAAGAAUAUUCCGAAAGAUCGUUGCUACGGUAACCUUCUGUCAGGAAUACCCGAAUCAUGAGAACUCUGUUUCGAAAGGAUUUGCGGUAGAGCACAUAGAAUGGGACCCGAAAGGUUGUGAACUAUGCUUGAGGAAGGCGAAGCCAGGGGAAACUCUGGUGGAGGCUUGUCGCAAUGCUGACGUGCAAAUCGCUUGUCUAACUUGAGUAUAGGGGCGAAAGACUAAUCGAACAACCUAGUAGCUGGUUCCUUCCGAAGUUUCCCUCAGGAUAGCUGGAGCAGUAUUCUAGUUUCAUCUUGUAAAGACAAUGAUUAGCAGUUUCGGGGGCGUAAUGCCCUCAGCUGAUUCUCAAACUCUGAACAGGUGAGUCAUAUUAAUUCUCUUUAUUGGAUUUUGGUAUUAAAUGAUGCAUGCAUCAUGAACAAUAGAAGCUCUUAGUGGGCCAUUUUUGGUAAGCAGAACUGGCGAUGUGGGUUGAACCAAAUAUUGGGAUAAGACGUCUAAUAUUCACUAAUAGAUACCACAAAAGGUGUUAGUUCAUUAAGACAGCAGGACGGUGGCCAUGGAAGUCGGCAUCCGCUAAGGAGUGUGUAACAACUCACCUGCCAAAUGGACUAGCCCUGAAAAUGGAUGACGCUAGCAGUGGAUAGUCGAUGCCCAAUCGUUAAAAGAAGUGAUAAUACUUUUAACGUGUAGGAAGGCGUGAAGGUAACAUUGAAGAUUCAGUGUGAACUGGAUUGAAGUUGCCUUUAGUGCAGAUCUUGAUGGUAGUAGCAAAUAUUCAAAAGAAUUUACUUUGAAGGCCGAAGUGGAGAAGGGUUCCAUAACAAUGGAAUUCAUUUAUGGGUGAGUCGAUCCUAAGGUCUGGGUUAACUCUCUCUAAUAAGCUUACUAGGUGCAUGGAUCGAAAGUGAAGUGUACUCUCAACUAGUAAGCUUAUGGGCCGAAAGGGAAGCGGGUUAAAAUUCCUGCACCACUCUAAAGGAUAUUAGGGCAACCGAUCGUAAUCCGGGACAUCAAUUGGUGGUCGAGGAAGAGUUAUCUUUUCUUAUUAACACUGUCUUGAAGUCCAUUGAAUCAGGUCAACUGGAGACGUGGAUUUAUCGCACAGUGGAAGAGCACAAACCAUUGGUUUGGGUCUCGCAUCCGUUAAUUGGUCCUUGAAAACCGGAUUAUGGUAUUUAGUCCUUUGGAGUGUUCGUACCAAUAACCACAUCAGGUCUCCAAGGUGAAUAGCCUCUGGUCAAAUGUAUUAAUGUAGAUAAGGGAAGUCGGCAAAACCGAUCUGUAACUUCGGGAUAAGGAUUGGCUCUAAAGGUUGGUAGAGUGGACAUUGUAGAGCCUAGAUCAGGGGGUGAGUUUGUAGAGCGGGCAACUGUUUUGCGAGCUUAUUUUUGGGUUUAGGUGUUCUGCUUUGAGGGGCUUGCUCCGUUCUGCUUUACAAUUAACAACUAAUUUAGAACUGUGACGAUCACGGGGAAUCCAACUGUUUAAUUAAAACAAAGCAUUGUGAAUAGCUGAAAAGCCCUUGACACAAUGUGAUUUCUGCCCAGUGCUCUGAAUGUCAAAGUGAAGAGAUUCAACCUAGCA